AUUAAUUAGUUACAUCAUGGAAGUAAUAUUGAAAGGAAUAACAUCGUCGUCACUUCAAAGGUUUCAUCUGCGUUACCGCCCAUCUUUCAAUAACUUGUUAAUUGGUUCAAUAUCUGGCAUGGAAGUUGAUUCUCUGCAUGUGAUCGAUCAAAUCACUGACACUUUAAUAUCGGUCAUUUUCGUGUUCACGGAGAACUACGAACAGACAAGUUUUUGUCGUUUAUACGUGCGAAGUAACCCGAAUAGUCCAUUCGUUACAUUCCGUUGAUGUAUGCUGCCGAAAAGAGUCAUUCGUUCAAUUUUUAUUUUAGUCCAAUUUUCCCCUAUUUUUGGUUAUUUUGAUCAUAAUAGUUUAAACCGACAGCUAUCACAUACGAAAUUGGAGAACAAGAUUGUGCCAUUUCAAUUUUAAUAUUUACAGACGGUUAAAAAAAACAUUUCCGUAAGUUAAGAAGAUGAUUGUAAAAAAAAUACGUUUGGACCCC
rnacentral:lncRNA from 1 species